rnacentral:lncRNA from 1 species
GUUCAGUGUAAAUGACUUAAAAACAUAUGGACGACAUUUCUCAAGGAUUUCCCAGCGAGUCGGGCUGUCUGUCUGUAUGCAAGGGAGUUUUAUUAGCAAGGCAAAACUGGGGGUUGGGAGGAGGGGGGUUUUCACGAAAAGAUAAUACAUCCUAGCCUCUCUAAUUUAUUUUCAUGCUUCGGUGGGCUGGACUGUUAGCAUGGAGUGGUCAACAUGAAACAGAACCAAAUGUCUUCAUCAGGCUAAACUUGGAUCACAGCAGCAACUCACAGCCAAGGUCAUGGAACCCAGGAUACAGACGUCAGAACUGGAAGCAAUCAGGGGUUUCCCAUCCGUCUUCUCUCACAAUAAGGGAUGACAAAGCCAAGGAUCAGAGAGGGCAAGCGAUCCGUCAAGAUCACAGAACCAGUAUGUGGGGUAAAGCACAGACUUUAUCAAAAUAUUGGUGACCUUCCCCUUCAUGUGGACAGUGUAGACGAGCUGCCUGAAUGCAUUCCGUGGACCCCCGGGACUCAGACUGGAUGACCCUUCUACUCAGCUCAUUCAAUCCACUCCCUGAAUAAUCCACCAUCUUAUUCUGAAAGGUCUUCAAGGACAACCACCUCAGUAAACCUCCCCCUUGUCUAACAGUAUUUCACAGUCAGAAAGUUCUUAUACAUAAUCAGAAUGUCUAUUGCUUUGAGCGAACCACUUUUCCUUCUGUUCUAUUCUUGCUGGCGAUGGAGAACAGCUGGGAAGUUUUCAAUAUCUCUGUUAUGAACUUGAAAGCUGUUUUAAAAACACUCUUUGAGUCUCUCUUUCGCUGGCUAAAUAAACUUGAUUCGUUU